GCUCUGUGGUCCAAGAUUUCCGUAAGGUUGGGAUCGUGGAUUUCCAUCGUAGAGUCCCAGCCGCAUCUGCACGUUGUAAAGGUAUCGAAGUGCUUGGUUCACAUUGGCCUCGGUAAUUUUUCCAUUGGUGAUUGCAGACUGCGUGUGGAUGGCCAGGAAGGGACCACAAUCGAGAUUCAAUCCUGACAGGAGAAAGGAAUGGAAAAAGAACGCGGUGGUUAGCACAGCCCUUGUCGGAAGGUUCUUUUGUCAUAA
rnacentral:lncRNA from 1 species